ACUUGCAUCUCUCCACUGAAUUCCUUCUUGAAAAUAUAAUAAUUUAUUUUUAAAUUAGAAAUCACAGUUCACACAGCUGCAGAGAAAAGGAAAAUUCCGUUCUACAAGUGGUGAAGAGUCAAAUAAGGUUUUCCUCUCAAAUGAAGCUGGAAGCUUUUGUGGAACGUGCAGUUUGUAGGCAAAGGCACUGGGGAUAAGAAGUGAAGAGCUGCUCUCUGCAUGCCUGAGAAAACUGGAUUAUUUGAAUGCAAAGAUAACAAACAUUUAUCUUGAGGAGAGAUCAACAGCCAGCAGUGCAAUGAUACCAAACCAAUAUCAAGCCUGGGAGGAUAUAGAGCUGUUCAGCUGCACCAAUUCUUCAGGAAAUGUUCCUCCUCCCCCUCUGGAGUGAUGAAAGAAAAAAUAUCAAUACCACUCUGACAAAUCAGCAGAGGAAAAUAUGAUAGCAAAUAACCUGUUUCAGACUGUUUCUUGGCAUUUUAUUAGAGAUCAAAUCAAACUUGUCUAUCCUCAGUGCAUCCUCUUUACCCCAAUGCAAGAAACAUAAAAAAUCAUGUUUUAAAGCAAGGGAGAGUAUCCAUCUGUUGCAUCAAUGAUUGACAGAAAUCCCAUUUCUGAAAGCUGAAAUGGCAGAUGGCCUUUCCUGAACCUCAUCAGAUGGAUUUGUCAUAAAAGGAAAUGUGUCCUUUCAUUUGACAUGCUCUUUCCCAUUGAUUUCCAGAUGACAAACAACUAGGAAAUGCAGUGAGAAAUAAACAAACCAUGGCCUCAGACUUUGAUUCAUGAAGACUGGGGAUUUUCUUGAAUUUCAAUUUAAUUUUCCAUUAAAUGAAGAUAUACUGUAAUACAGUCAGCUUCAGAGGAGGUUUGGAAUGAGUCCUUUAAUUUCCCCCCAUAAAAAACACCUUUAAAAGCUGAACUUUUGCAGAAUGCCUAUGGAGUUUUUGCUGGAGAGUUCAGGCUGAAGUUGUGGGCGCAUACCGUGGUAAAGAUAUUUAUCUUCUUUCAGUCUUUCAGUUCUAUUAUUUAGAGCAUGUCUUUAGCAUUGGUUUCUUUCUGAACACUUCCAUUUCAGAAUAAAAUUAUCUAUUUUAAAUGGUUGG